rnacentral:rRNA from 1 species
GUACACAAAAAUGCACAUAUUGUGAGCUCGAUGAGUAGGGCGGGACACGUGGUAUCCUGUCUGAAUAUGGGGGGACCAUCCUCCAAGGCUAAAUACUCCUGACUGACCGAUAGUGAACCAGUACCGUGAGGGAAAGGCGAAAAGAACCCCGGCGAGGGGAGUGAAAAAGAACCUGAAACCGUGUACGUACAAGCAGUGGGAGCCUCUUAAUGGGGUGACUGCGUACCUUUUGUAUAAUGGGUCAGCGACUUAUAUUCUGUAGCAAGGUUAACCGAAUAGGGGAGCCGAAGGGAAACCGAGUCUUAACUGGGCGUUAAGUUGCAGGGUAUAGACCCGAAACCCGGUGAUCUAGCCAUGGGCAGGUUGAAGGUUGGGUAACACUAACUGGAGGACCGAACCGACUAAUGUUGAAAAAUUAGCGGAUGACUUGUGGCUGGGGGUGAAAGGCCAAUCAAACCGGGAGAUAGCUGGUUCUCCCCGAAAGCUAUUUAGGUAGCGCCUCGUGAAUUCAUCUCCGGGGGUAGAGCACUGUUUCGGCAAGGGGGUCAUCCCGACUUACCAACCCGAUGCAAACUGCGAAUACCGGAGAAUGUUAUCACGGGAGACACACGGCGGGUGCUAACGUCCGUCGUGAAGAGGGAAACAACCCAGACCGCCAGCUAAGGUCCCAAAGUCAUGGUUAAGUGGGAAACGAUGUGGGAAGGCCCAGACAGCCAGGAUGUUGGCUUAGAAGCAGCCAUCAUUUAAAGAAAGCGUAAUAGCUCACUGGUCGAGUCGGCCUGCGCGGAAGAUGUAACGGGGCUAAACCAUGCACCGAAGCUGCGGCAGCGACGCUUAUGCGUUGUUGGGUAGGGGAGCGUUCUGUAAGCCUGUGAAGGUGGCCUGUGAGGGUUGCUGGAGGUAUCAGAAGUGCGAAUGCUGACAUAAGUAACGAUAAAGCGGGUGAAAAGCCCGCUCGCCGGAAGACCAAGGGUUCCUGUCCAACGUUAAUCGGGGCAGGGUGAGUCGACCCCUAAGGCGAGGCCGAAAGGCGUAGUCGAUGGGAAACAGGUUAAUAUUCCUGUACUUGGUGUUACUGCGAAGGGGGGACGGAGAAGGCUAUGUUGGCCGGGCGACGGUUGUCCCGGUUUAAGCGUGUAGGCUGGUUUUCCAGGCAAAUCCGGAAAACCAAGGCUGAGGCGUGAUGACGAGGCACUACGGUGCUGAAGCGACAAAUGCCCUGCUUCCAGGAAAAGCCUCUAAGCAUCAGGUAACAUCAAAUCGUACCCCAAACCGACACAGGUGGUCAGGUAGAGAAUACCAAGGCGCUUGAGAGAACUCGGGUGAAGGAACUAGGCAAAAUGGUGCCGUAACUUCGGGAGAAGGCACGCUGAUAUGUAGGUGAAGCGACUUGCUCGUGGAGCUGAAAUCAGUCGAAGAUACCAGCUGGCUGCAACUGUUUAUUAAAAACACAGCACUGUGCAAACACGAAAGUGGACGUAUACGGUGUGACGCCUGCCCGGUGCCGGAAGGUUAAUUGAUGGGGUUAGCGGUAACGCGAAGCUCUUGAUCGAAGCCCCGGUAAACGGCGGCCGUAACUAUAACGGUCCUAAGGUAGCGAAAUUCCUUGUCGGGUAAGUUCCGACCUGCACGAAUGGCGUAAUGAUGGCCAGGCUGUCUCCACCCGAGACUCAGUGAAAUUGAACUCGCUGUGAAGAUGCAGUGUACCCGCGGCAAGACGGAAAGACCCCGUGAACCUUUACUAUAGCUUGACACUGAACAUUGAGCCUUGAUGUGUAGGAUAGGUGGGAGGCUUUGAAGUGUGGACGCCAGUCUGCAUGGAGCCGACCUUGAAAUACCACCCUUUAAUGUUUGAUGUUCUAACGUUGGCCCGUAAUCCGGGUUGCGGACAGUGUCUGGUGGGUAGUUUGACUGGGGCGGUCUCCUCCUAAAGAGUAACGGAGGAGCACGAAGGUUGGCUAAUCCUGGUCGGACAUCAGGAGGUUAGUGCAAUGGCAUAAGCCAGCUUGACUGCGAGCGUGACGGCGCGAGCAGGUGCGAAAGCAGGUCAUAGUGAUCCGGUGGUUCUGAAUGGAAGGGCCAUCGCUCAACGGAUAAAAGGUACUCCGGGGAUAACAGGCUGAUACCGCCCAAGAGUUCAUAUCGACGGCGGUGUUUGGCACCUCGAUGUCGGCUCAUCACAUCCUGGGGCUGAAGUAGGUCCCAAGGGUAUGGCUGUUCGCCAUUUAAAGUGGUACGCGAGCUGGGUUUAGAACGUCGUGAGACAGUUCGGUCCCUAUCUGCCGUGGGCGCUGGAGAACUGAGGGGGGCUGCUCCUAGUACGAGAGGACCGGAGUGGACGCAUCACUGGUGUUCGGGUUGUCAUGCCAAUGGCACUGCCCGGUAGCUAAAUGCGGAAGAGAUAAGUGCUGAAAGCAUCUAAGCACGAAACUUGCCCCGAGAUGAGUUCUCCCUGAGACUUAGAGUCUCCUGAAGGAACGUUGAAGACGACGACGUUGAUAGGCCGGGUGUGUAAGCGCAGCGAUGCGUUGAGCUAACCGGUACUAAUGAACCGUGAGGCUUAACCUU